rnacentral:lncRNA from 1 species
AUGAGGAUCCACCGGGAUGGGUGUGGGGAUCCACUGGUGGUUGGGUUCCACUGGGAUGGGUGUGAGAAUCCCCUGGAUGGGUGUCUGGGAUCCACUGGGAUGGGUGCCUGGGAUCCACUGGGAUGGCUGUGGAUGUCCCCACAGGACUGGGCACCAAACCGGUGCCCCAGGGCCUGGGGAGGAGCCGUGUCCGUGGUUCUGCUCCGUCACCUGGAACAGACGCGGCGCCGGUCAGCGCCCGGAUCCCUGCGGGCGGUGCAGCCUCCCCUGGGGCCUCCCCUGGAACCUCCCCCGGGACCUUUCCAGGACCUCCCCUGGAACCUCCCCUGGGGUGUCUCCAGAGCUCUCCCAGAGCCUCCCCUGGGGCCUCCCCUGGGACCUUUCCAGGACCUCCCCUGGAGUGUCUCCAGAGCUCCCCCAGAGCCUCCCUUGGGGCCUCUCCAGAGCCUCUCCAGGGCUCCCCCAGGACCUCCCUGCCUGGAACCUCCCCAGAGCCUCCCCUGGAGCCUCCCCUGGAACCUCCCAGGAGUUUCCCCAGGGCCUCCCCUGGGCCAGGCCUGGAGUUUUUCCCAUUUUCCAGCAGCGCUGAGCGCGGCUCUCCUGGCUCCGGCUGCGGGAGCCGGCCCCGGGCGCCGGCAGAUCCCGCAAUCCCCUGCUCCAUGUGGGAUCCCAGCUCCCAGAGCUGCUCCCAACUCUUCGGGAUCAAUCCCAACUUUUUCCCCCUUACCAGUAGCUCCUUCUGAAGGGAGCAGCCACUUCCUGCACCGUCCCCAGGAAGGUGUUGACGUCAGCCACCAGAAUUCCUUUGCUUUCCAGGAUUUCCCUGCUGCUGCCGCCGGGAUUUUCUGCGAGGGAAGGAGGAGCAGCAGCUCCAUUAAUCCAAACGAGGCCGUUCCCAACCCCCUGGGAAUUAUCCCUAAAUCCCACCACGGCUGCUCUGCACCCACGAGGCUCCAAAAACCGCUGGAAUUCGGCAACCUCCAAAAACCCCUCGCUGGCGCACCGCAAUUCCCGUGGGAAUGGCCGGAAAACUGGGAUUGUUUUAUCUCUCCUCCGAUUUCCCAGGCAUUUCCAGACCGGGAAAUCCCGGGAAUCGCCUUUACCUGUGAGAUAGACGGCGAACCUGGCGCGGAUGUGCCGCACCUGCAGCUCCAGCAGGCACUGGACGCGCCGCGAUUC